rnacentral:lncRNA from 1 species
AAGAGAUACCAGAAGGGAAACUGGGAAGCUGGAGGAGAAGGGGAGAGGACCAUGCCUUCCCUAGACAAAAGACAAAGCCUUUUGCUUCUGCUAUAAAUAGGACACCCUCAGGAAAGCUGGAGCUUCUAAUUCUUCCAGUGAUGGAACUCAGCAUAUGUCUGAGGAGCAGAGAAUUCAGAAGCUCCCAUGGGCCUCCCACAGCUGGAAUCUAAAACAACCACAGAAGUCUCAGAAAAGAGAAUAUAAAAGCAUACAACAAAAUAAAGGACUCAUAAGAGUACAGGGAUCACAUACAUGAAGUUGAACAAUGUUCGGUUUUAAUUCUUCACAAUUAUCAUUUGUAAGAUUGUAGGCAUUGGCCAUGGAACCCCAAGUCUCCAGCCAUCUCCAGUUCUCUGCAGGCACUGAAUGUAUGUGCUAAGGCAAGCCAUCUGCAGCUGCUGCUUGAAGGGAGGUACAGAUACAACAGUUGGAAACCUUGGUCACCACAGCAGAGGUGUGGGGCCAAUCCACAAUGCAGUUGGAGCAUGUUAACUUAUGGAUGAAAUGACAGAGAAGACACAGCUGCUUCAGCGCUCUCUCCAUGCUUGCAGGAAACCAUCUACCACCACUCAGGUUUCCAGCGGAGCCCAUCCGAGCAGCACAGCUGCCACUGGGUACCACAACCCAUGUUGCAGCCACGUGGCUGGCCCAGAAGCAGCAGGGAAUGAAGGCUCACUCACCUCGGGAUCCUCUUCGUAAUGCCAGUUGUCGGUUCUAACUGAGGUGCGAGGGGAGUUGGUGGGCAAGUGGCAGUUGGCUUAGAAUUACAAUCAGGAGAAAGGAAUGUUCUUUUGCUAAUGAAAGAGGAGAAAUUGGCAAUGUUCCAGUCCCAAGUCUAGGCCUCGGGAGGCUUGCAUUUUGCCAAAUUAUGAUCCCCUUCUCAGCUGCUGCUCUUUCAGCAUGGACGCUAUCACAAACACAUGGAAAAUGGCCUUCCCUAGUUAAUCCCAGCCAAACCAAACCCAGGUGCAAACUAGAGCCACACAGCCAAACCCACCCUACACCAACCAUUCCCAGCUGAACUGUAUCCAUGAGAAUAAAUUAUUGUGGUUUUUCAGGCAAAAAAAAAAAAAAAA